GCUGCCUCUGCUUUGUCAUAUACUUCACCAGAGAAGUGGGGGAUAGCUGGCAGUGUAAGACCUCACUCAGCUCCCACGCAGUUGGUGAGGCCAGUCUCACUCCUGCAGUGCUCCAUUCGGACCUUGCUCUAAGGUGUAAGCUUCCCCCUCUGUAACCUUGUGAAAUUUGCAGCAGCGGGCUGCUUCUUUCAAAUGAUCUGUGAAUUCUUUUGGUUUUCCUGUUAUGUUCCUGUGGUGGUUCUUGGCGCAAAAGUUUACGGUGUGAGUCUCCAUACACUGUUCUGUCCAUCCAAGUGGGAGCUGCACAUUAGCCCUGUCUCCUAUAUGGUGACAUCAUAUGAACAAGAAGCUUCUGAAGGAUGCAUGUUGCUGUUGCUGGGCAGACAUGGACAUUGGAAAAAUCAAAAGUGAGAAAAUGCUGGACUUGCUGGAGGAAGGACUCACCUUGAGGAAGCAAGUGACCAUGUUGGGAAACCCCAUGUUGUAAGGAAUUGUGGGUGGCCUCUAGGAGCUGAGUGUAGCCUCCAGGAAACAGUCAGCAAGCUCUCAUUACUACCACUGCAGGAGACUGAAUCCUGCCAACUACAUGAAUUCCUGAGCCAUGGACACUGUGAGACAAUGAAUACGUGAUUGUUAAGCUUCUAAGUGUGUGGCUAUAUUGUUGUGCAACACUGAAUGAAUAAUAUGAUUCUGAUGCCAAAAUCGCACUGUGCAGAGGAAGAAGUAUCACCACUCAAUGAGUAAGAUGUUACUGGAUGGUCAAUACAUGAGAAACGGAAUUCAGCCUGGGAAACUUGGUUUAGGGAAAUCCAUGCAUUGUUCUGAAACGGUGUGUUCUCACAAAAUCAAUUGUAUUAAUGUAGAAGAAUAGUUGCCAGUUAUUUUGGGCAAAUCACAACUUCCCUGGUUUUAGCUUUUUUCUCAUCUGUAGAGGGAUAAUAUUUGUCCUUCCUGUAUGGAGAUUGUGAUAAGAUUAAAUUGAGAUCACUGUAAUUCAACAAUCAAGUUUACACUUGUACGGUGCUUUCAUAUAUUAUGCAUGGGCUCCAUUGACAAUUGUUGAAUCCUAGCUAUUCAAGUGAGAGCAUCAACAUAGUACAAAUGAGCUCUCCUCCAUUCUCUGUGACCCACUAUCACUAAUACAUCUGACAUGCACAGAUUCUCCAGUCAGAGUUCCUGAUUUUCUCUCUAUGUCUGAGUUUGUUAAUGCUGUUGUUAAAACACUCACAGUGUGGCCCUUCAUUUUACCUGUGGCAGGUGUAUUAUUCCAGUCUAAGUUACAGGAAUUCUUGUAGAUGAGUUACCUGCUUUACCCUUAAACCUUAUUCUCUGAUGCAGUGGUGUACUUGAAAUUCUCUUUUGUAAAAUCCAGUGCUUUCCGUUUGUUCAUGCUUUGCCAUUAAUAUUCCCUUCACAUUUGCAAGCUUGUCACAAAAUAUGAAUUUAUUUUCAAUCUAUCACCAUUUGUGCAAAUGCUGUUGUCACUGAAGGGUAAAGAUAUAGACAGAAUUUAAAUGCAUAAUAUCACAAAUGUUUUCUAAGCCUUUUUAUUAAUGCAGUUCACAGCACAAUUAACAUAAAUAAUAUUGUUUUUAGUCUACUGGUUCCCAAAAGCAUUAAGAUGCAAAAGCAGACUGUGGGGGGAAAGGAUUCUCAAUAUGGUUAAAAAGAUGUUACUGACUGCAUGCAAAAUGUGGUUCAACUGCUCCUGUAAUAAUAAUAAUAAUAAUAAUAUCUGCAUUAUUGGAGACCUUUUCAUUGUUGUUCAUGUGUUUUUCCUAUUGGAUGAUGUUUCAGCUUAUAAAGCAUCCUUGCUAUCUGGGUGAACCAUCUGUGAUAGCUCCAUUUAAACUGAUUUUCUUUUUUUGUCAAUGACAAGCCCACAUGGGAAAGAGUAAGCAACAU
rnacentral:lncRNA from 10 species